CGGACGGGUGAGUAACGCGUGAGUAACCUGCCUUUCAGAGGGGGAUAACGUUCGUGAAAAGAAACGCUAAUACCGCAUAACAUCAAUUUAUCGCAUGAUAGGUUGAUCAAAGGAGACAAUCCGCUGGAAGAUGGACUCGCGUCCGAUUAGCCAGUUGGCGGGGUAACGGCCCACCAAAGCGACGAUCGGUAGCCGGACUGAGAGGUUGAACGGCCACAUUGGGACUGAGACACGGCCCAGACUCCUACGGGAGGCAGCAUG
rnacentral:rRNA from 1 species